rnacentral:rRNA from 1 species
GUGAGACAGGUGCUGCAUGGCUGUCGUCAGCUCGUGUUGUGAAAUGUUGGGUUAAGUCCCGCAACGAGCGCAACCCUUAUCCUUUGUUGCCAGCGGUCCGGCCGGGAACUCAAAGGAGACUGCCAGUGAUAAACUGGAGGAAGGUGGGGAUGACGUCAAGUCAUCAUGGCCCUUACGACCAGGGCUACACACGUGCUACAAUGGCGCAUACAAAGAGAAGCGACCUCGCGAGAGCAAGCGGACCUCAUAAAGUGCGUCGUAGUCCGGAUUGGAGUCUGCAACUCGACUCCAUGAAGUCGGAAUCGCUAGUAAUCGUGGAUCAGAAUGCCACGGUGAAUACGUUCCCGG